rnacentral:lncRNA from 1 species
AAUGGAUGGCUGAAGACAAAGGAGGGAUGGAUGCGGGGAGGGCAGAGUGCUCUCUAACCAAGUACCAGACUCGCCAAGGCAGAACCAGCGUGGAGCUUAACUUACCACGAGGGGCUCGGUAAAUAUGCAGAGGGAACACUAAGCAACUUACAGAAGGGAGAGACUUAGCAAGUCUCUUCUAUGGGAAUAGGGUACCCCCAUUCCCAGUGGCCUACCCACCCCUCUCCCUCCCGUGGGCUGUAGGAAAUUCUGAAAGGACUCAGCCUCGAACGAGAGAACGCCGACAGUAAGAGGAUUCUUGCCCUGAUGCUUACCUGAGCAUCUCUGAAUUUGUUCUCCAGCCCACUGGCCUGGCUGCCCUGGAGCAGAGGGACACGGGGACUCAGCUCAGACCAUAAACCAGUAGGAUUAACCCCCAUGUCAAUACCUGCUUGUUGUCAGGGAGCUGCUCGGUCGCCGGAGAGCCCUCUGAGAUGACGUAUUCCCUGCCACCUUGGCCUGCUCCCCUGGGCUGCCACGUCUCCCCUUCCCUUGUUUAUAUCGAGUAACCUGAGCUCCGCGGGCCUGACCGAGGCGUGUGAGUUCUGACACGGCCCAGAGAGGCCAGGAUGGCUGCUGUCGGCCUUGUUCUCAUUACUCUGCUGAGACGGGGCCUUGAUCACAUUACCCAUCAUUCAGGCUCCCCAGGGGAUCAGCCUCUGGUUCCGAGGGCACAAGGUAAACCCGGGGAGGUCUUAGCAACGCCUAUCACUGUCGACCCCCGGGGAACUUGCCGAAUGUAAGGCAUUCGCGCUCCGUCUCCCACCGGACCCCGGGGCAGGCAGCGAGCCCGCCCCCCACCAGUGCACCUCGCGGUGCCAAAGGAAAGGCGCCUCAUGCUAUUAGCUCAAAUAAGGAAAAUCAUGCUGGGGAGAUUGAAUUUUCUGCAGAGCUGGUGAAACUCGGUGAUUUCUGAACACGUGGUGCUGGCAGGCGUGGGGACGUGGGCUGCCAGCCUGCGAUUUAUCAGCCGAUUCUGGAGUCUAUGCACAGGUUUAUUAAAUCAGCAUGAGUCCCUCUCCUGCCUUCCUUGCAAAUGUGAAUCGCAAAUCGCCAAAACCCAGAGAACACACGUGACCCGAGAGUUUCUUCUUGGGGCCUGGAGCAUCUAGAGAGCUGGGGGAAGAGUGCUGUCAGUGGGAGGUCUCCACCAGCCGGCGGAACGCCCAGGCCAGGCAGAGAGAAGCAGCUAGGUGGGGUGCCCAGAGCACAGGUGCAGGCGGGGCACAGACCGGGGCCCACCUCCGCCCUUACGGGCUCAUCCGCUCAGUCCUGCCUGUGCCAGGCAGUGGGCUGUGCAUGGGGCACUCGGCCCAGAGAAGGACUUACCCCAGGUUCAGCCCUCACAGAGCUUAUGGUCUCAUCAAAGUUUUUGGAGCGAUUGGAACUGUGUUUCUAUCACUGGCCUCGCUGGAAAACGUGGGACACAUCAUUUCACUUCUCUGAACCUCAGUUUCCCCAUUCUGCCACCUACAGGCAGAAGAGUAAAUCAAAGGGACAUCAAGUCCCGCACGUGGUGCCUGGCUCAUCAUUCCUGCUGAACCAGCAUCUGCCACUUCUCUGGAAAGAAGGCAGUGACGAGUGACAUCCUACCGAAACCAGGGGGUCCUCUCCCCAUCCGAUCCCUACCAACCCUCCCGGUUAUGCCCAGACAACUGGGAGCCCGGACACCAGGCUCAGCCCCCUGGAGGCGGUGUGCUGGCACCCACGCAGCUCCGGCUGGAGAGAGCAGUUCUGCCCUGGGGCACCUGCCCAGGACUCCUGCCCCCUGGAGCCUCAGUUUCAGGCCAUCCUUCCUGGCAAUCUACAGCAGCACUUCUUUCUCCCUCGGUCUUUCGGCCAGUAGGUCCUGAGCACACUCUCAGCCUCCAGUCGUCGCCUCUCUACAAAAUGACCAAGAUGGCAAUGAGAAGCUUCCUCGCUACAGCCAGGGCGUCCUGCCACCCUGGCCCACCUUCCGCAGGUCGAGGGCCAAAGACCCGAGAUUUCCCUUUAAUGCCCCCGCUGGGUUGCCUACUCCCCAGCAAACUUCGCUCCUGGACUCUUGGGCUUUCAGUCCCAGGCGCCCUGGACCAUCACCUCUGGGGCACAGAGCUCUCUGUCUUGGCCUGGGAGCAGGUGGAUUCACUCCUCCCCAUGGGACCUGAAGAGAGUGAGCCUAUCAAAGCCAGAGCCCUCCCCGCCCCCGCUGGAGGUAGGCUGCUCCCGGGGCUGCUUUCCCGGCUCUGCUGUCUGCACCGCAGCCACCACUGAGGGUCCCACCCUGUUUCCUCCUUGCAGCCUAGGUAGGCCCUUCGCUCAGCGGCAUUACACCCUGCAUGUUGACCUUGCGCCAUGUGCCUUGCCUGUCCAGGCCUCAGGGUGCCCUGAGGUGGGGUGCUGGUCCCUGCUGGGCAGGGUUGUGUGAGAAUGAGCAGAGUCGACCUGGCAUCCAGAGAGCUGACCAGACAUUCGGAACUGGUGUCUGCAGUGGGCACAGGGCGUGUCAUGGCCAGGAGGGGCCCAUACGCUCUCGUGCAUUCGAACACACCCCUUCCCUACCCCCCACGCCAAGACAAAGAGCGCUGUGCUAGCCCAACACGACCUCGGGUGGCAGCAGAGCUUUCAGGAGGGAGAGGGUCCCUUGCAGGACCACCAAAGGCCAACCUAGAGGAAACACAGCAAAACCAUCACCGCAGCUGCAUUUAGGUGACUGCACUACAGAGAACUUCCUUUUUCUAUGUUUAUCUAAUUCCUAAGAUUUUUAAAUGGGGUUUUUAAAAAGCAGACAUCAGGGAGUUCCCGUUGUGGCUCAGUGAUUAACGAAUCCUACUAGGAACCAUGAGGUUGCGGGUUUGAUCCCUGGCCUUACUCAGUGGGUUAAGGAUCUGGCGUUGCUGUGAGCUGGGGUGUAGGUCACAGACGUGGCUCAGAUCCCGUGUUACUGUGGCUCUGGUGUAGGCCGGCGGCUACAGCUCCCAUUCAACCCCUAGCCUGGGAACCUCCAUAUGCUGCGAGUGCAGCCCUGAAAAAAAAAAAAAGCAAACAUCAAAAGUGAAAGAAGUGGAGGAAGACGAGGAAGAAGGUGAGGAGCAGGGGGAGCACCUCGGAGCUGAGCAUGAGGACGCGUGCACCCUGCGGAUGUUCCCAGGGCCCCCUCCCCCAGACAGGACAGAGCCGUCGCGGACCAGCAAGGUGUCAGACAGAGUGGGUCUCACAGUGACCUGAGGCAGAGGUCAAAGACAGAGCCAGGUCUCUGCAAAAGCCCCUACCCAGGACAAGGAGACAAGGCUGGUCAAACGUGGGCACUCUGAGCCACACUCCGUGGUCCCGGACCACAGCCAGCACUUUGGGCUGCAGCUCUGGGGUCUCCCUGACAACCUGGGCUGCAGUGGAAGCCCCUGCAGGUCACUGAGGCUCCCCCAAGAAGGAAGUUGGGACUGAGACAUCCCAAGGGUCAUUUUAAUUCUGUCUUUGACCUUCUUCUGCCUGGAGCAACCACCUUCACAACAGAGAUCCCUGGCGCACGGAUAGAGCAAAACCGCUGCACACCCUCCUGGGAGGCCAACAGACGCUCCGCCCAGCACACCUCCCCACGGCUGUCUGUCAGCCUACGCACUUCCCAGGACAAACAGCCCCGACUCAGCCCCAAGCACAGAUGUGCGGCCACAGAGAGGGAGGGCCGGGCAAUGACUUUUCAUCACUGCAGUCUGCGUGAUGCCUGUCACCCUGCCCUUUCAUGCCAGGAUCGAGAGGGGCCCAGGAAGGGACACAUGUGUCACGGUAGGGGACCGAUUACACCUGCUCAUAUCAAGUCCGUGCCGGGGCUCCUAGUUGCCCAGAUGGUAGAGGGGAUUUAUGGCCCAAACCUGAUUUCCCAGAAUCCAGGGAAGGCAGGAACAGAGAGACAGAACCUGACAGAGCUUUCUUUCAGGUCUCACUGGGAGCCAGUGUAUUUUUGGAGGGCUCUGGCCUCGCCUGCUUGCUGUACUUUAUUGCUGGCAGAGAGACGGGAAAUUUAUUACUUUACAAAUCAUACCAUUCGCAGCAUAAAUGAACUGUCUGGCCGCGGCACGCUCGAGCCCAGAUGAUUUGCGAAAUGUCUAAUGGUAAGCGGAGUUAUGCUAUCUGCUUACGGCCUCCGAGACAAAAGCCAACCAUGAGGCAGAGCAUCUGCACAGUGUAACUUGAGGCCGGCAAAUUGGCUGCGACUCAUAAAUGUUGGCUCAGCAGCAUUACAUAACUCGGUGCGCUCGGCCAGGGACGCAGAGAAACACGGGGCAGCCCCUGGGCCCAGAGAGCCGGCCCUGACGGGGCUAUGGAUGACAGGCAGGGCACCCCGGGGGCUCGAGGCCCGAGGUCAGGGCCAGGCCGAGCUCCACAGCCCGGCCCGUUCUGAGGUCUGCGAGCAAUCAAGAAGUGAGGUGGGCUCGGGGGGCCCGCCUGGGUUGGGGGUGCUUGCUACGGCCCUGCUGCUCCAGAUGCCCCAGCUCGGGAGGAUGGUUGUGCAAUUGCAGCCCCCACAUGUGGACAGGAGCCAAGCAGCACCCACAGCCCACCGGGUGGUCCAUCCGCCGCCAGUUGGUCUACGGCGAGUGCAGAGGGCUGGUCACAUGAUCAUCAGCACCAAGAGGCUCAGCCUGGUGCCUGGGGUGUGGACAUCACUAGGAGGGAGGGCACAGAGCACAGAGGACAGCAAGCAAGUCCCUCCGGCUCUCUGAGCUCAUGUCAGUGGUAGCGUCAGCAUUCAAAUCGGGGCUGCUGUGACCUUGCUCGCGUGUACGUACCUAGGCUGAGCAUGGCACGGGGUGGUCCGUGUUUUGACAAAGCCCUAAGAGCAACCUGGGACGUAGGGAUGUCCUCAUCCCCCUGUUACAGAGAAGCCGAUGGAAGCUCAGAUGAGCCAUGUCCCUUUUCUUUUUUUUUUUUUUUUGUCUUUUGUCUUUUGUUGUUGUUGUUGCUAUUUCGUGGGCCGCUCCCGCGGCAUAUGGAGGUUCCCAGGCUAGGGGUC